UACGUAGGUGGCAAGCGUUGUCCGGAAUUAUUGGGCGUAAAGGGCUCGUAGGCGGUCCGUCACGUCGGGAGUGAAAACUCAAGGCUCAACCUUGAGCGUGCUUCCGAUACGGGCGGACUAGAGGUAUGCAGGGGAGAACGGAAUUCCUGGUGUAGCGGUGGAAUGCGCAGAUAUCAGGAGGAACACCGGUGGCGAAGGCGGUUCUCUGGGCAUUACCUGACGUGAGGAGCGAAAGCAUGGGGAGCGAACAGG
rnacentral:rRNA from 1 species